GUCUAUGGCUUUGCCUUUCAUGGCUAGGUUGAAACCGGCAACUUUUGCCUCGACAACUAGGACGUGGACGUCUGUCCCCAAAGAAACCAGAAGCCAAGGAUCCCAAUAAGAGAUACAUGACCUAUGAUGAGAAGCAAAAGCUCAGUGCAAAUCUUCAGAACUUGCCUUCUGAAAAGCUUGAUAACAUCCUGCAGAACUUUAAGAAAAGCAAUACCUUUUCUUUAACAUAUGUCACACCUCUUUUAUUCGAUAAUGUGAUUUACUUGUGCAGGUUGAUAUUUAUAACGGAUCAGCUACAGGAUGGACCGGUAAGUUUAUUUGUUCGUCUUUAUGCUUUGUUAAUAUGUGAUGAUAGAAGUAGGAUAUUUGUUAUCUUUUUUGCUCCCAACAACCAUAGUAAUAUUGUUACAUCUAGUCGCAAGCUGCCACUUGUGUUCACGAUUUGCUAAAUUCUACCAAAUGAUCAUCUACAAGCAAGUUCAUUUGGCUACACUACAUAUAAUGUAUAUCGUAGAUAUCUAUCCAGUCGAAAUUGAUGGCAAUGGAGUAUUUGAGGACACUCUGCCACCACCUCCACCUAUUCCAGAAUAUGUCGUCCCUGAACAACCUCCGGAGUGAGUUAAGAACAAUGGUUUUUUAUUUUAUUUUCCGUGUUAAUUUUUGUUUUUGAGGUGAUUAGAAUUGUCGGGAAAACAAGAAUAUGAAUAUUUGUGUUGUGAUCUAUAGUUUUAGUAGAGUUAUAUUCCUAAUUUAAAUUUCCUGAGAAACCAUCCAUGAGCUUAUAUGUGUUUGCUAUUAAUAUUUUCUUUUUCAUUUUAGUGAAGCAAUUAUGCCAUAUAUAUUUGCAAUGCUUUUUGGAUGUGAGCUUUUUGAGACUACAUUAGCCAGGUCGCUAUAGAAGGGGAGCAAUUUAUGUGAUGCUAAAAAGUUGCAAUAAAAGAGAAGUACACAAGGAAUGUUUUACUAAAUAUAUCAGGUUCUAAGUGGCUACAUAAAUUUGAUAUUACACAUUAUGCAAAAGGAAAGAGAAAAGAAUUUAAGCAAAUUACUUAAAAGUCAUCUCUAUGACUAUGUUAAAGCGAACAAAGAGGAGUUCACCCGUGAUCCUGAAAGCUGAAGCGACAAGGCUCUCCAAUGCAAGUUAUAUACACUUAUUGGCAAAAUCUAGCUAACUCAAUCAUUUGCUUUAGGUGUGAACAUGUUCUAAAAAGAAGGUGUCAGACAUGUUAAAACUAGCACUAUUGGGUAUGUAGAUGCACUCCAAAAAGCAAAAGAGCUUGGUAAAAGGCGAUGUAUAUGGGCGUGCCAUUUAUUGCUAGGUGGUAUUUAAUAAAGGACAUUGUAUUAAAUCCCAAGUUACAUAAACAAAGGGUCCACUUGCUCUAAUUUAGCUCCAAGAGGACAUGAAACGAGAUCUAAUUGAAGACGAGAAAUACACUGAAGCAGAACUUGAAGAAUAUAUGUAGUCACAAUAAAUUGAUGAUUGGUUCUCUUUGGAAGCUCAAUAUGAUAUUGAAGCCAUACUUUCUCAUAGUUUUGUAUGCUUAUUCUACACUUUGGAAACUUAAUGGUACUUACGUUAAUAUGUAUCUCUUUUUAGGUACUUCUAGAUAAUAAUGUGAAAAAGGAGGAGCUUCGUGCAAGAGCAAAGGGCUUGAGGAUUCUUGGUGGGAUCUUUCAGAUGCAUCCAAUCGAAAACGAUGGCUAUGGAGUAGCCGAGGAAGCUCUGUCACCACCUCCACCUGUGUGACAAUUUUGGCUGUCUAUAUUCUUAAUAAACGAGUGUUUUCAAAAGAAUUAUAUUCAUUUUUUCUUGCCCUAAUUGAUGUGGCAGUUUACUAUCAAUUGAUACAUGUUUCUUCAAUAAUUGUAGCAAUCCAGAAUUUAUGGAUGUAGUAGCAAUCCAAAAUUUAAUAUUUAAAUAUUUUGUUUGUGGUUUUUCUAUUUUUAUUUAUGUGGUAAUAUUAUGUUCA